AGACCCGAAACCCGGUGAUCUAGCCAUGGGCAGGUUGAAGGUUGGGUAACACUAACUGGAGGACCGAACCGACUAAUGUUGAAAAAUUAGCGGAUGACCUGUGGCUGGGGGUGAAAGGCCAAUCAAACCGGGAGAUAGCUGGUUCUCCCCGAAAGCUAUUUAGGUAGCGCCUCGUGAAUUCAUCUCCGGGGGUAGAGCACUGUUUCGGCUAGGGGGCCAUCCCGGCUUACCAACCCGAUGCAAACUGCGAAUACCGGAGAAUGUUAUCACGGGAGACACACGGCGGGUGCUAACGUCCGUCGUGAAGAGGGAAACAACCCAGACCGCCAGCUAAGGUCCCAAAGUCAUGGUUAAGUGGGAAACGAUGUGGGAAGGCCCAGACAGCCAGGAUGUUGGCUUAGAAGCAGCCAUCAUUUAAAGAAAGCGUAAUAGCUCACUGGUCGAGUCGGCCUGCGCGGAAGAUGUAACGGGGCUAAACCAUGCACCGAAGCUGCGGCAGCGACGCUGAUGCGUUGUUGGGUAGGGGAGCGUUCUGUAAGCCUGUGAAGGUGGCCUGUGAGGGUUGCUGGAGGUAUCAGAAGUGCGAAUGCUGACAUAAGUAACGAUAAAGCGGGUGAAAAGCCCGCUCGCCGGAAGACCAAGGGUUCCUGUCCAACGUUAAUCGGGGCAGGGUGAGUCGACCCCUAAGGCGAGGCCGAAAGGCGUAGUCGAUGGGAAACAGGUUAAUAUUCCUGUACUUGGUGUUACUGCGAAGGGGGGACGGAGAAGGCUAUGUUGGCCGGGCGACGGUUGUCCCGGUUUAAGCGUGUAGGUGUGUGUUCCAGGUAAAUCCGGUUCACUUUAACACUGAGGCGUGAUGACGAGGCACUACGGUGCUGAAGCAACAAAUGCCCUGCUUCCAGGAAAAGCCUCUAAGCAUCAGGUAACAUCAAAUCGUACCCCAAACCGACACAGGUGGUCAGGUAGAGAAUACCAAGGCGCUUGAGAGAACUCGGGUGAAGGAACUAGGCAAAAUGGUGCCGUAACUUCGGGAGAAGGCACGCUGACACGUAGGUGAAGUGAUUUACUCAUGGAGCUGAAGUCAGUCGAAGAUACCAGCUGGCUGCAACUGUUUAUUAAAAACACAGCACUGUGCAAACACGAAAGUGGACGUAUACGGUGUGACGCCUGCCCGGUGCCGGAAGGUUAAUUGAUGGGGUCAGCGCAAGCGAAGCUCCUGAUCGAAGCCCCGGUAAACGGCGGCCGUAACUAUAACGGUCCUAAGGUAGCGAAAUUCCUUGUCGGGUAAGUUCCGACCUG
rnacentral:rRNA from 1 species